rnacentral:tRNA from 1 species
GACGGCGUGGAGGGUCGUGUUUAUCACGUGCGGUUGCUGCUCGCACCUCAAGCCGGUUCGCACCCGGCGGCCGUCAC